rnacentral:rRNA from 1 species
ACUCAAAUGAAUUGACGGGGGCCCGCACAAGCAGUGGAGCAUGUGGUUUAAUUCGACGCGACCCGAAGAACCUUACCAGGUCUUGACAUACCUCGCAUAUCCCAGAGAUGGGAGAAGCCCUUCGGGGCGGGGAUACAGGUGGUGCAUGGUUGUCGUCAGCUCGUGUCGUGAGAUGUUGGGUUAAGUCCCGCAACGAGCGCAACCCUUGAUGUCGGUUGCCAGCAGGUAAAGCUGGGCACUCCGGCGUGACUGCCGUAGAGAAUACGGAGGAAGGCGGGGAUGACGUCAAAUCAUCAUGCCCUAUAUGACCUGGGCUACACACGUGCUACAAUGGGGCGAACAACGGGAAGCGAGCGAGCGAUCGUAAGCGGAGCCCUAAAAACGCCUCUCAGUUCGGAUUGCAGGCUGCAACUCGCCUGCAUGAAGUCGGAAUUGCUAGUAAUCGCGGAUCAGCAAGCCGCGGUGAAUACGUUCCCGGGCCUUGUACACACCGCCCGU